rnacentral:rRNA from 1 species
ACGCACGCUGGCGGCGUGCUUAACCCCUUCCAGUCGAACGGAAAGGCCCUGCUUUUGUGGGGUGCUCGAGUGGCGAACGGGUGAGUAACACGUGAGUAACCUGCCCUUGACCUUGGGAUAACUUCAGGAAACUGGGGCUAAUACCGGAUAGGAGCUCCUGCUGCAUGGUGGGGGUUGGAAAGUUUCGGCGGUUGGGGAUGGACUCGCGGCUUAUCAGCUUGUUGGUGGGGUAGUGGCUUACCAAGGCUUUGACGGGUAGCCGGCCUGAGAGGGUGACCGGCCACAUUGGGACUGAGAAACGGCCCAGACUCCUACGGGAGGCAGCAGUGGGGAAUAUUGCACAAUGGGCGGAAGCCUGAUGCAGCCACGCCGCGUGCGGGAUGACGGCCUUCGGGUUGUAAACCGCUUUCGCCUGUGACGAAGCGUGAAUGACGGUAAUGGGUAAAGGAGCACCGGCUAACUCCGUG